rnacentral:rRNA from 1 species
AAAUACCACCCUUUAAUGUUUGAUGUUCUAACGUUGGCCCCUGACCGGGGUUGCGGACAGUGUCUGGUGGGUAGUUUGACUGGGGCGGUCUCCUCCCAAAGCGUAACGGAGGAGCACGAAGGUUAGCUAAUCCUGGUCGGACAUCAGGAGGUUAGUGCAAUGGCAUAAGCUAGCUUGACUGCGAGCGUGACGGCGCGAGCAGGUGCGAAAGCAGGUCAUAGUGAUCCGGUGGUUCUGAAUGGAAGGGCCAUCGCUCAACGGAUAAAAGGUACUCCGGGGAUAACAGGCUGAUACCGCCCAAGAGUUCAUAUCGACGGCGGUGUUUGGCACCUCGAUGUCGGCUCAUCACAUCCUGGGGCUGAAGUAGGUCCCAAGGGUAUGGCUGUUCGCCAUUUAAAGUGGUACGCGAGCUGGGUUUAGAACGUCGUGAGACAGUUCGGUCCCUAUCUGCCGUGGGCGCUGGAGAAUUGAGGGGGGCUGCUCCUAGUACGAGAGGACCGGAGUGGACGCAUCACUGGUGUUCGGGUUGUCAUGCCAAUGGCACUGCCCGGUAGCUAAAUGCGGAAGAGAUAAGUGCUGAAAGCAUCUAAGCACGAAACUUGCCCCGAGAUGAGUUCUCCCUGAGACUAUAAGUCUCCUGAAGGAACGUUAAGACGAUGACGUUGAUAGGCCGGGUGUGUAANNGNNAGCGCAGCGAUGCGUUGAGCUAACCGGUACUAAUGAACCGUGAGGCUUAACCUU